UGCCGAGGUCUAAUACUGUGUUCCCAGCAG
rnacentral:piRNA from 1 species